rnacentral:rRNA from 1 species
UACAGAGGUGGCAAGCGUUGUUCGGAAUUACUGGGCGUAAAGGGCGCGUAGGCGGCCUUCUAAGUCAGACGUGAAAUCCCCGGGCUCAACCCGGGAACUGCGUCCGAUACUGGAAGGCUUGAAUCCGGGAGAGGGAUGCGGAAUUCCAGGUGUAGCGGUGAAAUGCGUAGAUAUCUGGAGGAACACCGGUGGCGAAGGCGGCAUCCUGGACCGGCAUUGACGCUGAGGCGCGAAAGCCAGGGGAGCAAACGGG